GAUAAAUAGCUUCAUGUAAACAAAUGCAGCUUCCAGAAGCUGCGUAGAAAUGUCACAUCCCCUGUUUGCUCACCUAUCAAUUUAUAAACAUUGUUUGGCUGAUGACAAACCGAGUCGAGUGAGGAAAGAUGUUUACCUGAAGGACUAGCUUUAGGAAUGACACAGCUACUUAACAUGGUUUCUGACAUUCGAAUCGGAGGACCACUUCUUCAUGGGGGUCUGUUUAAUUACGGGGCUACUUUAAACAAACGCGAGCUAGUUUCUAUAAACAUGUGCUACUUGGCCGAAGAAAGAUUCAUUUUAUUCUGGAAACUGUCUGAACAUAUACUCCUCCAUGCUCCACAACUUGCAUACAUACAUAAACCAAGCACCAUAAAUCUUCUCAAGCAACAAUGGUGUAACUCGAGGCAUCAAGUAUCGGCGCCUAGGUUCGCAGACGUUUUAAUCGAGGGUAGACUGAGAUUGGUGUGUUUUCGCGGAUUGAAAUUAAUGCAUCAGGCGUGGAACGAUUGAAAAUCACGCGUGGAAGAGCACAACUCCAGCGUGGCGAGGUUGGGUGAUGGAUGACCAAGCUGGAUUGCCGAGACGUGUUUGUUGUGACGGACGAAAGCUCUUUUGAAGUUUCUUUUUACAUAUAGCGACGAAUAAGAUCUGGCAUCAACAAAAAGCAGAAAUUUUUCAUAAAUUUUUGGAAUAGAAUUUUCCCAUAAACUGUUACACGUAUUACAAUGAAAAGUACAUGAAGAUCCAUUUUCAAUGAAACGUACGUAUUGGCUCUGUAGACUUAAUUUGUAGGUUUAUUAUCAAUUUCUUCCUCCAUUACAAUCUUUCACAAGUAAUAACAAAAA